UACAGAGGUGGCAAGCGUUGUUCGGAAUUAUUGGGCGUAAAGGGCGCGUAGGCGGUCUUGCAAGUCCUGUGUGAAAUCCCUCGGCUCAACUGAGGAACUGCACAGGAAACUGCUUGGCUUGAGUUCGGUAGAGGGAAGCGGAAUUCCGGGUGUAGCGGUGAAAUGCGUAGAUAUCAGGAGGAACACCGAUGGCGAAGGCAGUUCUCUGGGCGGUAACUGACGCUGAGGAGCGAAAGCGUGGGGAGCGAACAGG
rnacentral:rRNA from 1 species